GGAUUAAUGGUUUUUUAAUCACAGUUUCUCCACAAAUAUUUGUCAUAGAAAAUAUAGCGAAGGCAUGUUGGCACAGAUGGGCGUGCAGUACUGCUACACAAAGUUUGAGAGAAGGCAGAUACAUAAAUGACAGUUAAGAUUAAAGAGUAUGGAAGGGUAAGACAAGAAUCUCUAUUCUCCUGGGACUUUCUGGAGUGACAUGAUAGAUAGCGGUUUCCUUCUGUCACCUGCUGUCUACAUCCAGAGCUGGGAAGGGAUGCAUGACUUUCAAAGCACACUGCUUAAAUAUGGCUAUCUCGCUGUGCAAGGGCUUACGUACUAUCUAUUAUUUCAGGUCCCAUACUACUAUGCCUAACCUCUUGCAGAUAUUUAGACACUUCAAUGUGUAUGAAUUUAUAAUGCCUCAUGAACAAGUUAAUUGGAAUAAGCUGUUGUGAAAGAUUUGGGUUUUAUUUUUGUUUAAAUGAAAUGGAUGGGUCAAGAGUCAAGUGUCCAUGAUGGCAAUUAAAACCAAAGAGACAACUGAGGAAAGUUGUCGUACUCUGUUAUUUUAAACCCAAGCGUGAACAAAAAAAAGAUGAGCUGGUGUCUGCUAAUGCCUGUCUGUGACUAUGAUUCAUGUCACUGGCCAGUGCGCAUAAGCAACUGAGAGCAAAAUUUUUGUCUGUAAAGAAAGAUCCAAACCUGCAAAGCCAUCUCUCGUGCCAAAGUGGCUUUCAGGAUGAAAUUAUACAUUUGGUUAUUUUGCACAGUAUGAGAGUAGAGGAUUGUGAGAGGUCCCAGGAUGCUGGCUACACAUUUUACGCUGAAAAUAAAGCUAGGCUUACUAGUUAUGUCAGCGUAUCUUUAGGUUAUUGAGAGAGGUCUGCCCAGCCCAGUAAUUCUGUGACUGUUAAAAAUGAAGCAUUUGUAUUUUUAAUCUCAUAUGAUUAAACAUUUGAAAGGAAACCAUCACAAUGUUUACAAAAAUACAGCAUGAUACAUAUCGCUGUGGACAAAUUUACAGUAGAAUGUUGACUCACACGUUCUGACAUGUUUUACCAAGUAGUUCUGGCAAGUGUCACCACAUUAAACAUAGACCAGCAAGACUUACGCCAUCGGAGCAAUGUAACAUCUUCAUUACAGUUCUUCUAAAAAAAGUGUAAGUUCAACACUGAAAAGCUACUAUAGGAUAUCUGUACCAUGACAUUUUUAUACACUGAGUUUCUCCUCCAGGGGCCACCAUGCACUGUUGACUGCUCAAAGAGUCACCUCCUGCCUGUAGUGAGGGAUGCUGUCCCAAACCCCUUGGCCUGGUGAGGUCAUGACUAAACUGCUCAUUCACUUUUAGAAAAUGAGUUAUCCUGGGGCAGGCACGUGCCUUUCAACCCCCUUUUUAAAAUCACCAAAAAUAAUAUGAAUUGAGAGGUACUGGACAUUUAAGGGCCUAAAGCAUAUCCUGGUUGAGCGAGGUCCUAUUUAUGGUGGAGCCCGUGUUCCAAGAUGCCCUGCAGGCUGCCUAUGAGAGACUGGUCACAACCGCAGGCAAAGAGGAGGCAGGGGUCAGGAAGAAACUACUGUGUGGGUGAGCUAACCUUUGAAAGACUGCCUCUGUCCUCCAUCCAUGGUCAGGCUAGAGCUAGAGGAGCACUGCACCCCAAAGGGCCCUUCCUGGUCUUUGAGGAAGGGGCUGGGUGCCUCCUGCCCUGCCCAGCACAUGGGGAGAUCAGAAGGAGAGGAGAAGGGUAAAAGGAACAAUCAAUAGCUUCUCUCGUGGCUUGCACAAGGCAGUUAGGAAAGCUGGGGAGUAUAUGUGUUCAGGAGAGUCACCACUGAUGAGGUAGCACUAAGGAUGGUCAAAAGCGAAGUGAACUUUCUUUCCAAAAACCAGUUCCCUGUACCUGCCAGUGGGGAAAUGUUGCCUUAGGCAGGGCUGGUUCAGGCCAGGAAGGAUGCCAGCGCUGGCCUGAGAGACUGGACAAGGGUAAAGAGAUGGAAAACGUGGAAAGGGUUUUAUUUCUUUGGCAUUGUGUAUUUCUGGAGUGCAUCAAUUUGGAGGGACAGUGGACUCCUAAGCCUUUAAAAUUUAAGUUUUUCAGUGGACUGUUUUCUAUUUUAUUUUAAAGUCAGUAUCUGCUUCUAACGUUGUGCACCAUUGUGAAUUCUGCUCUAGCACAGUUCUUUUUUUAACAGCUUGCUUAAUCUGGACCCCCUGUUUACUUACAACAGAAGUUUAAACUAUGCUGCUCUUACCCAACCCUUCCCUGAAUGCAUCGCUGAGCAUCUGACUCUUAGACCAGCUCAUUGCCUCAUCUAUUUCAAGGGAAGGGUAUAAAACAUAAAUGAAAGCAAAACCAAGAAAAGGCAAUUUAAAGCCUCUGAAGCUACAUAAUACAUCUGCAGAAUAGGAACAGACAAAGCAAAACCUGUCUUCUGAAAUGGCAAUUUGGUUUUAGCAAUCUUAUUUUAAUGAAAACUGUCAUGAUCAACUCUAAUCCCCUAGAAAUCUAGAUAAAUAUAGUGUCUACCUGAUAUACAAAGCAAUGUUUAUCUAUUAGAAGUGCCUGUUAUUGUUCUGGGUCUUUGGAGGACUCUGCUGUUGACGAACACUGCUGUUUUACCUGGGAAGCUUAAUUUCCUGGCAGAGUUGGCUAAAGGAAGUCCCUGAAUUUUCCAUCUCGUGCAGUAUUUUAAGGUAGCAUUUAUAAUUAUGUUAUAUUCUGUUAGGAAAUGGGAGACC
ensembl:lncRNA